AGCGCAGGCGGUUUCUUAAGUCUGAUGUGAAAGCCCACGGCUCAACCGUGGAAGGUCAUUGGAAACUGGGGAACUUGAGUGCAGAAGAGGAGAGUGGAACUCCAUGUGUAGCGGUGAAAUGCGUAGAUAUAUGGAAGAACACCAGUGGCGAAGGCGGCUGUCUGGUCUGUAACUGACGCUGAGGCUCGAAAGCAUGGGUAGCGAACA
rnacentral:rRNA from 1 species